GAUGAACGCUGGCGGCGUGCCUAAUACAUGCAAGUCGAGCGAACAGACGAGGAGCUUGCUCCUCUGACGUUAGCGGCGGACGGGUGAGUAACACGUGGAUAACCUACCUAUAAGACUGGGAUAACUUCGGGAAACCGGAGCUAAUACCGGAUAAUAUAUUGAACCGCAUGGUUCAAUAGUGAAAGACGGUUUUGCUGUCACUUAUAGAUGGAUCCGCGCCGCAUUAGCUAGUUGGUAAGGUAACGGCUUACCAAGGCGACGAUGCGUAGCCGACCUGAGAGGGUGAUCGGCCACACUGGAACUGAGACACGGUCCAGACUCCUACGGGAGGCAGCAGUAGGGAAUCUUCAGCAAAGGGCGAAAGCCUGACGGAGCAACGCCGCGUGAGUGAUGAAGGUCUUCGGAUCGUAAAACUCUGUUAUUAGGGAAGAACAAAUGUGUAAGUAACUAUGCACGUCUUGACGGUACCUAAUCAGAAAGCCACGGCUAACUACGUG
rnacentral:rRNA from 1 species